UUAUGACGUGGCGAAAAACAAUUGGCUAAUAUACAAAUAAAACCCAUCUUCACUUCCGUGAAGAAGGGGGGACCUCCGUACGAACCUUGGAGACCUCUGAUCACACGUAUCAGAGUAACUGACAACUUGAUCACUUGCCAGUGCCCCCCUCGCGUCUCGAACCAAUCUUAAGAUAUAAAUCACCGACCUGCCAGCCCGAUUUUUUCUCCGUUUAUCUGCCCGACGAAAGACUUUCAUGCAGACCGACCUUCGAACCUUAAGCUGUAACUAAUCAAAUAUCUCUGACCUCCGUCUUUCACCACCUUAACGGCGUAUCACUGCAUCCUGGGAUGAAGGAAAUGACAGAAGCUUAUUCCCCAAGCUACAGAUUGACAACUUCUCCAGUAGAGUACUUUAUCACCUGUUGUAAUCUAAAAAGAAAAACGUGAGGCAAUGGAGCAAGCUUCGGAAGCAUAACUAUAUGCCAAAUUAAUUAAUAAGGUCAGCUGUUUAUCGACUGAGGAGAGAAAGGAAAUGCCCUCAGUGAAAUACAGUAUUCCCAAUGCAGAUCCAACAAAGGCUGGACAUAAGGAAGAACUUCUUUACGGUCCCAGCUCCCAAGACCUGGAACCUGGAACAGACUGCUGGCAGAGGUGGUGCAAUUCCUUUAAGUGGAUUCCUUUAAGAGUCAAUUGAACCUUUAUCGUGCUGGGAUCCUGUGAUACCAGCUGACUUCCUGCUUCUGGGCCAGGGGGCUGGACUCGGUGAUCUUCCGAGGUCCCUUCCAGCCCUAAUGUCUAUGAAAUUUAUGAACGUUUUGGAACAACUCUUCAGAUAGUUGAAGGCUAUUAUGAAAUCCCCACCCCUCCACCCCACCUCCAUCUUCUCUUCUCCAAACUAAAUAUGCCCAGUUCCCUCAGCCUCUCCUCAUAAGUCAUGUGCUCCAGCCCCCUAAUCAGUUUAUUGCCCUAUAUGGAGAACUCAUUCUGUCAGACUUCACAAAUUGUAUAAAUUCACUCCUCUAAAACCCAGGUAAAACCAAGUUGCCUCUUAAGUAAGAAAGAAGGUCACUAAAACUCCUUCAAGAAAAUCAAAACAAGCAAACAUCUGCUAUUACUUCUAGGUUGUCAGUGACAGGUCAUGGACAGUCAGUCCUGGGGGGCUAUCAGGAUUACCAGACCAAAAUACCAACCAGAGUCAGAGAGGAAAAGCAAAAUCCAGAGACCAGUCUCUUCAGAAAACCAGGAGAUCACUAGGUAAGCAAGGCUACAUGAAAUCUAAUCCAGAAAACCAGAGAAUCAAGCAGAGAGCAGAGUCCACAAUAAGCCAUCUUAGGAAACCAGGAGAACAAAUAGAGAGCAGACUUGACACGUGAGCUAGGUCAGGAAGUAGCCAGAGUUACCAGAGGCACAGUCUGAGGUCAGGAAAAAAAAAUUAUGAGGACCAGACUCUUCCUAGCCCUCUCCUUCAAUUUAUACAGAGGAAAGGUAGGACCAUAUGACAGGAGCCAACCAUGUGGGUGUCAGGAAGUGGGCAGAGAUUCUGGUACUGAUGAAGGCUUUAGAUAGGCCUCCUCCAACCUUCAGGCACAGCAACAGUGUGGUGUGUUGGGGUAAAUAGAUGUGCUAGUCAGGCCAGGCCUUGGGUUUUAGACUGCAGGCCUCACAGUUAGUUAAACUUCACAAAUGUAUGUAAUAAAACAGUUCCAAUAUAAGUACCAUGUAAAAUUUAAUAAAAAUACCAUAGGCUAGUUCCUAACUACACAGACUAUCAUGCCCUACUUUAUUUCUAGGUAAAUUGGUUGCAACCAUAAUUAAAAUUGAAUUAUAAACCACCUAGAUAAACUUGAUAUGAGAAGGAUAAACCAACGUGGUUUCUGUAAAGGAUAUUUAUGCCCUUCUAAUCUAUUAACAUAGUAGAUAAGAGAGAAGAGGUUCAUAUAAUUUAUUUUGACCUUUAAGAAGUCCUUCACAAGAGAUUUUAAGAAAACUAAAUAUUCAUGCUAUGAAAGAUAAAGUAAUGCAAUGGAUUAGAAACUGGCUUAGAUAUGGAAAACAAAAAUUAGGAAUGGGCUGAUCAAACUUUCAACAUGACAAAGUUAACUGCUUGGAAUCCCAAUGUUGUGUAAAAAGGACUGCUGUUAUCUAAUAUGCUCACUGCUUUAGGGAAAAAAAAAGAGGAAAGGGAAUGUGAUAUUUUGUGUACUUGUCUGGGAAGAUGAUCUUCUUUCUCCAUCAGGUGGGUUCCAUCUCAUCCUAGCAAUCCUUCUUGGAACAUCCCAUGACCAAGGAAGCCAAAGCCAUGCUGGUGAUACCAUAUCCACAGUGUGACAGCUGUAGGGGUUGUAGGGCUUGCUACCACUGCCUUGAGUUCAUUUUCCCACAGACGGUGAUAGGGUGGACCUCAGCUUCAGAUCACCACCUGGUCUGCCAGGAAGUUGGUCUUAUGUUUCUUUCCUGCCACGACUUCGAAAUUAUAUUCCCGGGAGGCACUGCUGGUGGUGAUCCUGCCCAAUCUCAAUCCCUGUGUGAUGGACUAGCCGAUAAUGAUUUGUCCCAGGGGUUUUGAAAGUGCAAAAGAUGAUUGGAGGGCUUGGGAUUCCCUUUCCUCGCCAAUCAGGCCCCAGAAACUCACCCUCCAUGUCCCCUGAUUGGCCCCUUGGGUCACCUGGAGGGGGAUAAAAGGGGCAGCUCAGCUGACUCAGGAAAGACCAGCAAGGGAACAUGAGGAAAGCGUUUCAAAGAGCUGGCAAGAGAUGGGCCAGCGGGGUGGGAGCUGUUGCCCCAGAAGCACCUGAAGGAGUGGGACCUGCAGGCAGCAGUUGCACCCUCAGCAGCGCAGCAUGCAGCUGGCAGGAGAGGCUCCCACUGGGCUCCAGGAUCCCCCUAUGAGAGGUUGCAGCCAGCAGGAGAGGCUCCCGAGCUCCAGCAAGAAGAUGAGCAGUGACCUGAGAGGCUCCUAGCUCUGCUUCCAGCUCCUCCAGCAAGAGACUAGGAAGCUUGAUGUGAGGCAGGAGCUCCAGGAAGGUCAAAACCCCUAGCAGCUUGGAGCAGUACCAGCACUGGUGGUUGUGUGGUAGAGUUUCUACCUACUAUGUGAGAGAUUUUAAGUUCAAGUCAUGCUGGGAUGAACUGGGGUGAGUAAAGUGAUAGGAAGAAAUUCUUGUUGCAGUGGGAAAGGGGUCAUUGUGUUUUUCCCCUCCUCACCCCUCCAGGUACCUAGGCCCUAUAUUCCUUGUUAUUUACAUUUUGUAUUUUGUACAUUUUAUAUUUUGCCAAUCAGUAUUGUUUGUUCUGCUGUUUAUGUUUUAUAUUUUGUUAACCCUGUCUUUUGUCAACUGGAUGAAUGUGUACAAUUGUAAGUGCCUAACCUUUAUUGAAUCCUGCCCCCUUGGGGCUUUGUAGUGUCCCCUAUACCCUCUGGUUUAUACCUGUUAUGUUCCCACUACUGUUCCCUCAUUAAAAGGUAUAUGGUUA